GAGGGUCUGGCUCACUGGUAGAGCGUAUGCCUAGCACGCAUGAGGUUCUAGGUUCAAUCCCCAGCAUCUCCA
rnacentral:tRNA from 1 species